AGAGUUUGAUCCUGGCUCAGGAUGAACGCUGGCGGCGUGCCUAAUACAUGCAAGUCGAGCGAACCACUUCGGUGGUGAGCGGCGAACGGGUGAGUAACACGUAGGUGAUCUGCCCAUCAGACGGGGACAACGAUUGGAAGCGAUCGCUAAUACCGGAUAGGACGAAAGUUUAAAGGUGCUUCUGGCACCGCUGAUGGAUGAGCCUGCGGCGCAUUAGCUAGUUGGUAGGGUAAAGGCCUACCAAGGCGACGAUGCGUAGCCGACCUGAGAGGGUGAACGGCCACACUGGGACUGAGACACGGCCCAGACUCCUACGGGAGGCAGCAGUAGGGAAUCUUCGGCAAUGGGCGAAAGCCUGACCGAGCAACGCCGCGUGAAUGAUGAAGGCCUUCGGGUUGUAAAAUUCUGUUAUAAGGGAAGAACGACUUUAGUAGGAAAUGGCUAGAGUGUGACGGUACCUUAUGAGAAAGCCACGGCUAACUACGUGCCAGCAGCCGCGGUAAUACGUAGGUGGCGAGCGUUAUCCGGAAUUAUUGGGCGUAAAGAGCGCGCAGGUGGUUGAUUAAGUCUGAUGUGAAAGCCCACGGCUUAACCGUGGAGGGUCAUUGGAAACUGGUCGACUUGAGUGCAGAAGAGGGAAGUGGAAUUCCAUGUGUAGCGGUGAAAUGCGUAGAGAUAUGGAGGAACACCAGUGGCGAAGGCGGCUUCCUGGUCUGUAACUGACACUGAGGCGCGAAAGCGUGGGGAGCAAACAGGAUUAGAUACCCUGGUAGUCCACGCCGUAAACGAUGAGUGCUAAGUGUUGGGGGUCGAACCUCAGUGCUGAAGUUAACGCAUUAAGCACUCCGCCUGGGGAGUACGGUCGCAAGACUGAAACUCAAAGGAAUUGACGG
rnacentral:rRNA from 1 species